GGUGACCUUAGCAGAGGGGUCCCACCCGAUCCCAUUCCGAACUCGGAAGUUAAGCCCUCCAGCGCCGAUGGUACUGCUCGGGAGACUGUGCGGGAGAGUAGGACGUUGCC
rnacentral:rRNA from 1 species